rnacentral:rRNA from 1 species
UACGUAGGGGGCGAGCGUUGUCCGGAAUCAUUGGGCGUAAAGAGCGCGUAGGCGGUCCGGUAAGUCCGCUGUGAAAGUCAAGGGCUCAACCCUUGAAUGCCGGUGGAUACUGUCGGGCUAGAGUCCGGAAGAGGCGAGUGGAAUUCCUGGUGUAGCGGUGAAAUGCGCAGAUAUCAGGAGGAACACCAAUGGCGAAGGCAGCUCGCUGGGACGGUACUGACGCUGAGGCGCGAAAGCGUGGGGAGCAAACAGG